rnacentral:misc_RNA from 1 species
CUAUCAGGAACGGAAUACCUCGAGGAAUCUUCGCUGAUAGAUAGAGAACCUCUUUAUUUGCGUUCUUUCGCUUGGCUAUAAAGAACACAUUAGAUGCGGCCAGAUGCUCGACAGUUGCAUUCACGUUGUUGAUAACUGCAGCAGGAAGGUCCUUGCUGACUUCAUUGGUAUCAGGAAUAGAUUUCCAUGUCUCAAGAAAGGUUGAACGUUCUAUUCUACCAUCCUCUGAGAACAGUACAUG